rnacentral:rRNA from 1 species
AACGAACGCUGGUGGCAGGCUUAACACAUGCAAGUCGAACGCCCCGCAAGGGGAGUGGCAGACGGGUGAGUAACGCGUGGGAACGUACCUUUCAGUUCGGAAUAACUCAGGGAAACUUGUGCUAAUACCGGAUACGCCCGUAAGGGGAAAGAUUUAUCGCUGAAAGAUCGGCCCGCGUUGGAUUAGCUAGUUGGUGGGGUAAUGGCCUACCAAGGCGACGAUCCAUAGCUGGUCUGAGAGGGUGAUCAGCCACACUGGGACUGAGACACGGCCCAGACUCCUACGGGAGGCAGCAGUGGGGAAUAUUGGACAAUGGGCGAAAGCCUGAUCCAGCCAUGCCGCGUGAGUGAUGAAGGCCCUAGGGUUGUAAAGCUCUUUCACCGAUGAAGAUAAUGACGGUAGUCGGAGAAGAAGCCCCGGCUAACUUCGUGCCAGCAGCCGCCGUAA